UACGAAGGGGGCUAGCGUUGCUCGGAAUCACUGGGCGUAAAGGGCGCGUAGGCGGCGUUUUAAGUCGGGGGUGAAAGCCUGUGGCUCAACCACAGAAUGGCCUUCGAUACUGGGACGCUUGAGUCUGGUAGAGGUUGGUGGAACUGCGAGUGUAGAGGUGAAAUUCGUAGAUAUUCGCAAGAACACCGGUGGCGAAGGCGGCCAACUGGACCAGCACUGACGCUGAGGCGCGAAAGCGUGGGGAGCAAACAGG
rnacentral:rRNA from 1 species